rfam:Asian citrus Psyllid, Diaphorina citri - Florida Strain, whole genome shotgun sequence.
GCUCCCAUGGCGUAGUGGUCACUGCGUUCGCCUUGCACGCGGGAGACCCGGGUUCGAUUCCCGGCGGGGUCA